rnacentral:rRNA from 1 species
AUACGUAGGUGGCAAGCGUUAUCCGGAUUUACUGGGUGUAAAGGGAGCGUAGACGGCAAAGUAAGUCUGAAGUGAAAGCCCCGGGCUCAACCCGGGAACUGCUUUGGAAACUAUUUAGCUAGAGUGCAGGAGAGGUAAGUGGAAUUCCUAGUGUAGCGGUGAAAUGCGUAGAUAUUAGGAGGAACACCAGUGGCGAAGGCGGCCUGCUGGACGACGACUGGCGCUGAGGCGCGAAAGCGUGGGGAGCAAACAGGAUUAGAUACCCUUGUAGUCCACGCUGUAAACGAUGAAUACUAGGUGUCGGGGCCGUAGGCCUCGGUGCCGCAGUUAACGCAAUAAGUAUUCCACCUGGGGAGUACGGCCGCAAGGCUGAAACUCAAAGGAAUUGACGAGA